GAUAAACGCUGGCGGCGUGCUUAACACAUGCAAGUCGAACGAAGUUUUUCUUUCGGGAGGAACUUAGUGGCGGACGGGUGAGUAACGCGUGGGUAACCUGCCCUGUACAGGGGGACAACAGCUGGAAACGGCUGCUAAUACCGCAUAAGCCCUUAGCACUGCAUGGUGCAUAGGGAAAAGGAGCAAUCCGGUACAGGAUGGACCCGCGUCUGAUUAGCCAGUUGGCAGGGUAACGGCCUACCAAAGCGAUGAUCAGUAGCCGAUCUGAGAGGAUGUACGGCCACAUUGGGACUGAGACACGGCCCAGACUCCUACGGGAGGCAGCAGUGGGGAAUAUUGCACAAUGGAGGAAACUCUGAUGCAGCGACGCCGCGUGAGUGAAGAAGUAUUUCGGUAUGUAAAGCUCUAUCAGCAGGGAAGAAAAUGACGGUACCUGACUAAGAAGCACCGGCUAAAUACGUG
rnacentral:rRNA from 1 species